AGCCAAAAAUUACGUCGAUCCAACUAGUAGAUCUUCAGAUAUCACAGAAACCCUAUCCAUCCCUAGACUGCCAACUUCGGACAACCUUUUGUACUAAAACCCAUAUAUCUCUUGAUUGCAUCGUUAGAUUAACACAAAUUUUUGUAUACACUUAGCACACCCAACUAUCCAGACAAUACCAAAUUUUGAUCCAUAGAUGCUACACGACUUGCACAAACCGAUUGAGAAUGCAAACCAUCAAUGUUUUAUAUAAAAUCUGAAACACCAAAAUAAACACUGACUUUGAGCAGCAAUUGCUCUCCCCUCACAAAUCCUAAUGAAACCAAACUAGUGACCUUGAAAAGAACUUGAAGCUAGCUCUUUGAUCCAAAAACCCGAUCUGAAAAAACCCCCUGUAUUUUGUCCUAGGCGGCCGUUUUAGUGGCUGGAGGUCGGAUUUCGACCCUGUCUCAUAUCC
rnacentral:lncRNA from 1 species